GCGUGAAUGAUGAAGGCCUUCGGGUUGUAAAAUUCUUUUGGUGGGGACGAUAAUGACGGUACCCACAGAAUAAGCUCCGGCUAACUUCGUGCCAGCAGCCGCGGUAAUACGAAGGGAGCUAGCGUUGUUCGGAAUUACUGGGCGUAAAGGGCGCGUAGGCGGUAAGAACAGUCAGGUGUGAAAUCCCAAGGCUCAACCUUGGAACUGCGCUUGAUACUUUCUUGCUUGAAUUCGGUAGAGGUGAGUGGAAUUCCCAGUGUAGAGGUGAAAUUCGU
rnacentral:rRNA from 1 species